rnacentral:SRP_RNA from 1 species
GCUGGGCACGGUGGCACAUGCCUGUGGUCCCAGCUACUCAGGAAGCUGAGGCUGGAGGAUAGCCUGAGUCCAGGAGAUCUGGGCUGUACUGCACUAUGCCAGUCAGGUCUCCGCACUAAGUUCGGCAUCAACGUGGCGACCUCCCAGGAGCAGGGGGCCACCAGGUUGCCUAAAGAGGGGUGAACCAGCCCAGGUCAGAUACAGAGCAGGUCAAAACUCCCAUGCUGAUCAGCAGUGGGACUGCACCUGUGAAUAGCCACUGCAUUCCAGCCUGGGCAACAUAGCAAGAUCCCGUCUCU